GUGCUCGUUUUGGCAGCACAUACACUAAAAUUGGAACGAUACAGAGAAGAUUCGCAUGGCCCCUGCACAAGGAUGACAUGCAAAUUCAUGAAGCGUUCCAUAAUUUU
rnacentral:snRNA from 1 species